rnacentral:RNase_P_RNA from 1 species
ACCGCAGGCCGCCUUAUCGCCGCGAGCAAUCGGGGAGGAAAGUCCGGACACCAUAGGGCAACAUAGCGGGUAACGCCCGUCGCCGGAAACGGUAGGACAAGUGCAACAGAAAGGAUGUACAGGUAAUGCUGUAGUGAAAUCAGGUAAACUCUAUGUGGUGAAAUUUCAAGUAUAUCAGCGUCAAGGGCUGCCCGCCUGUGCUGAAGGGUAGAAAGAUCGAGCCGUCGGGUAACUGCCGGCCUAGAUAAAUGAUAAGGCUUUCGAAUUUCGGAGGACAGAAUCCGGCUUACAGGCCUGCUUUUUUU